AGUGGCGGACGGGUGAGUAACGCGUAAGAAUCUAACUUCAGGACGGGGACAACAGUGGGAAACGACUGCUAAUACCCGAUGUGCCGCGAGGUGAAACCUAAUUGGCCUGAAGAAGAGCUUGCGUCUGAUUAGCUAGUUGGUGGGGUAAGAGCCUACCAAGGCGACGAUCAGUAGCUGGUCUGAGAGGAUGAGCAGCCACACUGGGACUGAGACACGGCCCAGACUCCUACGGGAGGCAGCAGUGGGGAAUUUUCCGCAAUGGGCGAAAGCCUGACGGAGCAACGCCGCGUGAGGGAGGAAGGUCUUUGGAUUGUAAACCUCUUUUCUCAAGGAAGAAGUACUGACGGUACUUGAGGAAUCAGCCUCGGCUAACUCCGUGCCAGCAGCCGCGGUAAUACGGGGGAGGCAAGCGUUAUCCGGAAUUAUUGGGCGUAAAGCGUCCGCAGGUGGUCAGCCAAGUCUGCCGUCAAAUCAGGUUGCUUAACGACCUAAAGGCGGUGGAAACUGGCAGACUAGAGAGCAGUAGGGGUAGCAGGAAUUCCCAGUGUAGCGGUGAAAUGCGUAGAGAUUGGGAAGAACAUCGGUGGCGAAAGCGUGCUACUGGGCUGUAUCCGACACUCAGGGACGAAAGCUAGGGGAGCGAAAGGGAUUAGAUACCCCUGUAGUCCUAGCCGUAAACGAUGGAUACUAGGCGUGGCUU
rnacentral:rRNA from 1 species